rnacentral:rRNA from 1 species
ACCUGCGGAGGGAUCAUUACCGAGUUUACAACUCCCAAACCCCCUGUGACAUACCACUUGUUGCCUCGGCGGAUCAGCCCGCUCCCGGUAAAACGGGACGGCCCGCCAGAGGACCCCUAAACUCUGUUUCUAUAUGUAACUUCUGAGUAAAACCAUAAAUAAAUCAAAACUUUCAACAACGGAUCUCUUGGUUCUGGCAUCGAUGAAGAACGCAGCAAAAUGCGAUAAGUAAUGUGAAUUGCAGAAUUCAGUGAAUCAUCGAAUCUUUGAACGCACAUUGCGCCCGCCAGUAUUCUGGCGGGCAUGCCUGUUCGAGCGUCAUUUCAACCCUCAAGCACAGCUUGGUGUUGGGACUCGCGUUAAUUCGCGUUCCUCAAAUUGAUUGGCGGUCACGUCGAGCUUCCAUAGCGUAGUAGUAAAACCCUCGUUACUGGUAAUCGUCGCGGCCACGCCGUUAAACCCCAACUUCUGAAUGUUGACCUCGGAUCAGGUAGGAAUACCCGCUGAACUUAAGCAUAUCAAUAA